AUUGAACGCUGGCGGCGUGCUUUACACAUGCAAGUCGGACGAGUGGCGAACGGGUGAGUAACGCAUCGGAACGUACCGAGUAAUGGGGGAUAACUGUCCGAAAGGACAGCUCAUACCGCAUAUUAUUCGAGCGGCCGAUGUCUGAUUAGCUGGUUGGCGGGGUAAAGGCCAACCAAGGGGACGAUCAGUAGCGGGUCUGAGAGGAUGAUCCGCCACACUGGGACGGAGAGACGGCCCAGACUCGUACGGGAGGCAGCAGUGGGGAAUUUUGGACAAGGGGCGCAAGCCUGAUCCAGCCAUGCCGCGUGUCUGAAGAAGGCCUUCGGGUUGUAAAGGAAUUUUGUCAGGGAAGCGGUACCUAACGAAUAAGCACCGGCUAACUCCGUGCCAGCAGCCGCGGUAAUUC
rnacentral:rRNA from 1 species